GAUGAACGCUGGCGGCGUGCCUAAUACAUGCAAGUCGAGCGAACGGACGAGAAGCUUGCUUCUCUGAUGUUAGCGGCGGACGGGUGAGUAAAACGUGGAUAACCUACCUAUAAGACUGGGAUAACUUCGGGAAACCGGAGCUAAUACCGGAUAAUAUUUUGAACCGCAUGGUUCAAAAGUGAAAGACGGUCUUGCUGUCACUUAUAGAUGGAUCCGCGCUGCAUUAGCUAGUUGGUAAGGUAACGGCUUACCAAGGCAACGAUGCAUAGCCGACCUGAGAGGGUGAUCGGCCACACUGGAACUGAGACACGGUCCAGACUCCUACGGGAGGCAGCAGUAGGGAAUCUUCCGCAAUGGGCGAAAGCCUGACGGAGCAACGCCGCGUGAGUGAUGAAGGUCUUCGGAUCGUAAAACUCUGUUAUUAGGGAAGAACAUAUGUGUAAGUAACUGUGCACAUCUUGACGGUACCUAAUCAGGAAGCCACGGCUAACUACGCG
rnacentral:rRNA from 1 species